AGCUCAAUGAUUGCAUGCCUUUAUUGGCAAUAUACGCUAUGCUGAUUUAUAUCAUGAGUAGAUAAGGCUUUUUAAGUAUGAGAGCU
rfam:Capsicum annuum cultivar Zunla-1 chromosome 2, whole genome shotgun sequence